rnacentral:rRNA from 1 species
UGGGGAAUAUUGGACAAUGGGCGAAAGCCUGAUCCAGCAAUGCCGUGUGAGUGAUGAAGGCCUUAGGGUUGUAAAGCUCUUUUAGCAGGGAAGAUAAUGACGGUACCUGCAGAAAAAGCCCCGGCUAACUUCGUGCCAGCAGCCGCGGUAAUACGAAGGGGGCUAGCGUUGUUCGGAAUCACUGGGCGUAAAGCGCGCGCGGGCGGCGUACCAAGUUGGAAGUGAAAUGUCGGGGCUCAACCCCGGAAUUGCUUUCAAAACUGGUAUGCUAGAGGUCGGUAGGGGAUGACGGAAUUCCUAGUGUAGAGGUGAAAUUCUUAGAUAUUAGGAGGAACACCAGAGGCGAAGGCGGUCAUCUGGGCCGAUACUGACGCUUAGGCGCGACAGCGUGGGGAGCAAA